UACGUAGGGGGCUAGCGUUGUCCGGAAUCAUUGGGCGUAAAGCGCGUGUAGGCGGUCCGGUAAGUCCGCUGUGAAAGUCGGGGGCUCAACCCUCGAAUGCCGGUGGAUACUGCCGGGCUAGAGUCCGGAAGAGGCGAGUGGAACUCCUGGUGUAGCGGUGGAAUGCGCAGAUAUCAGGAAGAACACCAACGGCGAAGGCAGCUCGCUGGGACGGUACUGACGCUGAGACGCGAAAGCGUGGGGAGGCAACGGAUAGAUACCUAGU
rnacentral:rRNA from 1 species